rnacentral:rRNA from 1 species
UACGAAGGGGGCUAGCGUUGUUCGGAAUUACUGGGCGUAAAGCGUGCGCAGGCGGCUUCUCAAGUCAGGGGUGAAAGCCCAGAGCUCAACUCUGGAAUUGCCUUCGAUACUGUUUGGCUUGAGUAUGGUAGAGGUCAGUGGAACUGCGAGUGUAGAGGUGAAAUUCGUAGAUAUUCGCAAGAACACCAGUGGCGAAGGCGGACUGCUGGACCAUUAUUGACGCUGAGGCGCGAAAGCGUGGGGAGCAAACAGG